GAUGAACGCUAGCUACAGGCUUAACACAUGCAAGUCGAGGGGCAGCGGGAUUGAAGCUUGCUUCAAUUGAUGGCGACCGGCGCACGGGUGAGUAACACGUAUCCAACCUUCCGUACACUCAGGGAUAGCCUUUUCGAAAGAAAGAUUAAUACCUGAUGGUAUCUUAAGCACACAUGUAAUUAAGAUUAAAGAUUUAUCGGGUGUACGAUGGGGAUGCGUUCCAUUAGGUAGUAGGCGGGGUAACGGCCCACCUAGCCUACGAUGGAUAGGGGUUCUGAGAGGAAGGUCCCCCCANAUUGGAACUGAGACACGGUCCAAACUCCCUACGGGAGGCAGCAGUGAGGAAUAUUGGUCAAUGGGACCGAGAGUCCUGGAACCCAGCCAAGUAGCGUGAAGG
rnacentral:rRNA from 1 species